ACGCUGGCGGCACGCCUAACACAUGCAAGUCGAACGAAGUAGCAAUACUUAGUGGCAGACGGGUGAGUAACAUGUAGGUAUCUACCCUAUGGCCUGGAAUAACACGAGGAAACUUGUGCUAAUACCGGAUAAGUCUUUACAGAGAAAGCUUUAUGCACCAUUGGAUGAGCCUGCACUUGAUUAGUUUGUUGGUAGGGUAAUGGCCUACCAAGACUGUGAUCAAUAGCUGAUUUGAGAGGAUGAUCAGCCACAUUGGGACUGAGACACGGCCCAAACUCCUACGGGAGGCAGCAGUGGGGAAUCUUGCACAAUGGAGGAAACUCUGAUGCAGCGAUGCCGCGUGAGUGAAGAAGGCCUUUGGGUUGUAAAGCUCUUUCGUCGGGGAAGAAAAUGACUGUACCCGAAUAAGAAGGUCCGGCUAACUUCGUGCCAGCAGCCGCGGUAAUACGAAGGGACCUAGCGUAGUUCGGAAUUACUGGGCUUAAAGAGUUCGUAGGUGGUUGAAAAAGUUAGUGGUGAAAUCCCAGAGCUUAACUCUGGAACUGCCAUUAAAACUUUUCAGCUAGAGUAUGAUAGAGGAAAGCAGAAUUUCUAGUGUAGAGGUGAAAUUCGUAGAUAUUAGAAAGAAUACCAAUUGCGAAGGCAGCUUUCUGGAUCAUUACUGACACUGAGGAACGAAAGCAUGGGUAGCGAAGAGGAUUAGAUACCCUCGUAGUCCAUGCCGUAAACGAUGUGUGUUAGACGUUGGAAAUUUAUUUUCAGUGUCGCAGCGAAAGCGAUAAACACACCGCCUGGGGAGUACGACCGCA
rnacentral:rRNA from 1 species